UACGGAGGGUGCAAGCGUUGUUCGGAAUCACUGGGCGUAAAGGGCGCGUAGGCGGCUUCAUUAGUCCGAUGUGAAAGCCCGGGGCUCAACCCCGGAAGUGCAUUGGAAACUGUGAGGCUUGAGUUCGGGAGAGGAAGGCAGAAUUCCCGGUGUAGGGUUGAAAUCCGUAGAUAUCGGGAGGAAAACCGGUGGCGAAGGCGGCCUUCUGGAACGAAACUGACGCUGAGGCGCGAAAGCGUGGGGAGCAAACAGG
rnacentral:rRNA from 1 species